UGUGAAGGUCCUUGCAAUGGGAACCUGUGAACCUGGUCAGGUGAGAAAUCAAGCAGCCAUAAGCAUCCGUUCUCAUGUGCCGGGACCUUCAUAGAU
rnacentral:SRP_RNA from 1 species